rnacentral:rRNA from 1 species
CGGAACGUACCAUUCAGUGGGGGAUAACGUAGCGAAAGUUACGCUAAUACCGCACAUUCUGUGCGCAGGAAAGCAGGGGAUCGCAAGACCUUGCGCUGAUUGAGCGGCCGAUAUCAGAUUAGCUAGUUGGUGGGGUAAAAGCUCACCAAGGCGACGAUCUGUAGCGGGUCUGAGAGGAUGAUCCGCCACACUGGAACUGAGACACGGUCCAGACUCCUACGGGAGGCAGCAGUGGGGAAUUUUGGACAAUGGGGGCAACCCUGAUCCAGCCAUGCCGCGUGAGUGAAGAAGGCCUUCGGGUUGUAAAGCUCUUUCGGCCGGGAAAAAAUCACAUGGGUUAAUACCCUGUGUGGAUGAUGGUACCGGAAUAAGAAGCACCGGCUAACUACGUGCCAGCAGCCGCGGUAAUACGUAGGGUGCGAGCGUUAAUCGGAAUUACUGGGCGUAAAGCGUGCGCAGGCGGUUUUGUAAGACAGGCGUGAAAUCCCCGGGCUCAACCUGGGAACUGCGCUUGUGACUGCAAGGCUAGAGUAUGGCAGAGGGGGGUGGAAUUCCACGUGUAGCAGUGAAAUGCGUAGAGAUGUGGAGGAACACCAAUGGCGAAGGCAGCCCCCUGGGCCAAUACUGACGCUCAUGCACGAAAGCGUGGGUAGCAAACAGGAUUAGAUACCCUGGUAGUCCACGCCCUAAACGAUGUCAACUAGGUGUUGGGAGGGUAAAACCUUUUAGUACCGGAGCUAACGCGUGAAGUUGACCGCCUGGGGAGUACGGCCGCAAGGUUAAAACUCAAAGGAAUUGACGGGGACCCGCACAAGCGGUGGAUGAUGUGGAUUAAUUCGAUGCAACGCGAAAAACCUUACCUACCCUUGACAUGUCCAGGAGCCUGGAGAGAUUUGGGUGUGCCCGAAAGGGAACUGGAACACAGGUGCUGCAUGGCUGUCGUCAGCUCGUGUCGUGAGAUGUUGGGUUAAGUCCCGCAACGAGCGCAACCCUUGUCGUUAAUUGCCAUCAUUCAGUUGGGCACUUUAACGAGACUGCCGGUGACAAACCGGAGGAAGGUGGGGAUGACGUCAAGUCCUCAUGGCCCUUAUGGGUAGGGCUUCACACGUCAUACAAUGGUCGGUACAAAGGGUUGCCAACCCGCGAGGGGGAGCCAAUCCCAGAAAGCCGAUCGUAGUCCGGAUUGCAGGCUGCAACUCGCCUGCAUGAAGUCGGAAUCGCUAGUAAUCGUGGAUCAGCAUGUCACGGUGAAUACGUUCCCGGGUCUUGUACACACCGCCCGUCACACCAUGGGAGCGGGUUCCGCCAGAAGUAGGUAGCCUAACCGCAAGGGGGGCGCUUACCACGGCG